CUGCGGCUGCUACCAUGCAAGUCGAACGGAUCCUUCGGGAUUAGUGGCGGACGGGUGAGUAACACGUGGGAACGUGCCCUUUGGUUCGGAACAACUCAGGGAAACUUGAGCUAAUACCGGAUGUGCCCUUCGGGGGAAAGAUUUAUCGCCAUUGGAGCGGCCCGCGUCUGAUUAGCUAGUUGGUGGGGUAAAGGCCCACCAAGGCGACGAUCAGUAGCUGGUCUGAGAGGAUGAUCAGCCACAUUGGGACUGAGACACGGCCCAAACUCCUACGGGAGGCAGCAGUGGGGAAUCUUGCGCAAUGGGCGAAAGCCUGACGCAGCCAUGCCGCGUGAAUGAUGAAGGUCUUAGGAUUGUAAAAUUCUUUCACCGGGGACGAUAAUGACGGUACCCGGAGAAGAAGCCCCGGCUAACUUCGUGCCAGCAGCCGCGGUAAUACGAAGGGGGCUAGCGUUGCUCGGAAUUACUGGGCGUAAAGGGAGCGUAGGCGGACUGUUAAGUUAGAGGUGAAAGCCCAGGGCUCAACCUUGGAAUUGCCUUUGAUACUGGCAGUCUUGAGUACGGAAGAGGUAUGUGGAACUCCGAGUGUAGAGGUGAAAUUCGUAGAUAUUCGGAAGAACACCAGUGGCGAAGGCGACAUACUGGUCCGUUACUGACGCUGAGGCUCGAAAGCGUGGGGAGCAAACAGGAUUAGAUACCCUGGUAGUCCACGCCGUAAACGAUGAGUGCUAGUUGUCGGCAUGCAUGCAUGUCGGUGACGCAGCUAACGCAUUAAGCACUCCGCCUGGGGAGUACGGUCGCAGAUUAAACUCAAGGAUUG
rnacentral:rRNA from 1 species